rnacentral:tRNA from 1 species
GCUUCCGUGGCGCAAUUGGUUAGCGCGUUCUGCUUUUAACCGAAAGGUGGGUGGUUCAAGCCCAACCGGGAGCG